GAUGAAGAACGCAGCGAAAUGCGUUAAGUAAUGUGAAUUGCAGAAUUCAGUGAAUCAUCGAAUCUUUGAACGCACAUUGCGCCCUCUGGUAUUCCGGGGGGCAUGCCUGUUCGAGCGUCAUUAUAACCACUCAAGCUCUCGCUUGGUAUUGGGGCUCGCGGUUCCGCGGCCCCUAAAAUCAGUGGCGGUGCCUGUCGGCUCUACGCGUAGUAAUACUCCUCGCGAUUGAGUCCGGUAGGUCUACUUGCCAGCAACCCCCAAUUUUUACAGGUUGACCUCGGAUCAGGUAGGGAUACCCGCUGAACUUAAGCAUAUCAAUAAGCGGAGGA
rnacentral:misc_RNA from 1 species